rnacentral:rRNA from 1 species
CGGUUAAAAAGCUCGUAGUUGGAUUUCUGUUGAGAAUGGGCGGUCCGCACUUUGUGCUGGUAUUUGCUUCAGUCUCGGCAUCCUCUUGAAGAACGGUGCUGUGAUUCAUUUCGUGGUCCGGAAUUCAAGACUUUUACUUUGAGGAAAUUAGAGUGUUCACGGCAGGCAAUCGCCCUGAAUACAUUAGCAUGGAAUAAUAAUAUAGGACCUUGGUACUAUUUUGUUGGUUUCUAGAACUAAGGUAAUGAUUAAUAGGGAUAAUUGGGGGCAUUCGUAUUAACGCGUCAGAGGUGGAAUUCUUGGAUUGCGUUACGACGAACUACUGCGAAAGCAUUUGCCAAGGAUGUUUUCAUUGAUCAAGAACGAAAGUAUGGGGAUCGAAAACGAUUAGAUACCGUUGUAGUCUAUACCAUAAACUAUGCCAACUAGAGAUUGGAGGUCGUAUUUUCUAUGACUCCUUCAGCACCUUUAUGAGAAAUCAAAGUCUUUGGGUUCCGGGGGGAGUAUGGUCCAGGCUG